rnacentral:rRNA from 1 species
CCUACGGGAGGCAGCAGUAGGGAAUCUUCCACAAUGGGCGAAAGCCUGAUGGAGCAACGCCGCGUGGGUGAAGAAGGUCUUCGGAUCGUAAAACCCUGUUGUUAGAGAAGAAAGUGCGUGAGAGUAACUGUUCACGUUUCGACGGUAUCUAACCAGAAAGCCACGGCUAACUACGUGCCAGCCGCCGCGGUAAUACGUAGGUGGCAAGCGUUAUCCGGAGUUAUUGGGCGUAAAGGGAACGCAGGCGGUCUUUUAAGUCUGAUGUGAAAGCCUUCGGCUUAACCGGGGUAGUGCAUUGGAAACUGGGGGGCUUGAGUGCAGAAGAGGAGAGUGGAACUCGAUGUGUAGCGGUGAAAUGCGUAGAUAUAUGGAAGAACACCAGUGGCGAAGGCGGCUCUCUGGUCUGUAACUGACGCUGAGGUUCGAAGGCGUGGGUAGCAAACAGGAUUAGAUACCCCAGUAGUC